rnacentral:rRNA from 1 species
ACGGAGGGGGCUAGCGUUGUUCGGAAUUACUGGGCGUAAAGCGCGCGUAGGCGGCGCGCCAAGUCAGGGGUGAAAGGCCUGGGCUCAACCUGGGAACUGCCUUUGAUACUGGCGUGCUUGAGUCCGAGAGGGGAUGGUGGAACUCCCAGUGUAGAGGUGAAAUUCGUAGAUAUUGGGAAGAACACCGGUGGCGAAGGCGACCAUCUGGCUCGGAACUGACGCUGAGGUGCGAAAGCGUGGGGAGCAAACAG